rnacentral:lncRNA from 1 species
AUGUAAGUACACUGUAGCUGUCUUCAGACACUCCAGAAGAGGGAAUCAGAUCUUGUUACAGAUGGUUGUGAGCCACCAUGUGGUUGCUGGGAUUUGAACUUCGGACCUUCGGGAAGAGCAGUCGGGUGCUCUUACCCACUGAGCCAUCUCACCAGCCCAGGAUGUUUCUUGAGUACACUAAUCUGUCUGAUGUAACCGGCACAUAGUGUGGCUAUGCAUUGAAGGAUCCCACCAUCCCCUAGCAUCGUCAUGAACAGCUUGUGCCAAUUAAAAAUUAACAUUUAAAUCCAGACCUGCAAUCCCAGCUACUUGAGAGUCAGAGCCAGGAAGGGAGAGUUCAAGGUCCGCCCGGACUCUAAUGUAAGGCCUGUUUGAGUAGCUUAGUUGUGGUGGUUUGAGUAUAGCCCCAUAGUUCAUGUGUUUGAAUGCUUGGCCCAUGGGGAGUGGCACCCUUAGGAAGUGUGACCCUUUUGAAAUAGGUAUGGCCUUGUUGGAGGAAGUGUGUCACUGUGGGGGCGGGCUUGAGGUCUCUUAUGCUUAAGCUCCAACCAGUGUGGAAUUCAGUCUCUUCCUGGAUGCCUUCAGAUCAAGAUGUAGAACUCUGGCUCCUCCAUCACCAAGUCUGCCUGCACGCUGCCAUGCUUCCUGCCAUGAUGAUAAUGGACUAAACCUCCGAAACGGAAUGGAAGCCCUAACUAAGAUGUUCAUGAAAACCGGUAUCAAACUUGCUGAAUACAUCUGAAGAUCUAUGUUCCAUCCUUGGAGCCCACAGUGAAAGGAGAGAACCGACUCCUGAAAGCUGACCUCUGACCUCCACCGAUGCACCGGGGCAUGCUGACACUUCCUCCUCCCGAAAGUCCUAUCCCUGGCCAGGACCAGAAAGCACUCUAUUCAUCUGGCUCCUGAAUCCUGAUCCAGGAAGAAGGGGAAGCUGGGACUAUGCAGAAGAAGAGACCAAAUCCACAGUGACAUGGAUCCCAUGGGAGAGCCCGGCUUGUGCUAUCCCUCACCAGGAUUUCUCUGUGUAGCCCUGAAACUUGCUCGGUAGACCAGGCUGACCUCAAACUCACAGAGAUCCACAGGCCUCUGCUGGAAUUGAAGCUCUGGGCCACCGCUGCCACCAAAUCUUUUCCUUAAACGGCCCAGAGCUCAGCCUGUGGCCUCGGUGGGAACAAAGUAAAAUCUUGCAAUGAAGGCAGUCACAAUGCUGAGACUCCUACAUGUCACCAUCUACAUGGGUAAGAUUCCUACUAUGUCACUCACUAUGUCACUCGCAGAUAAUGUGGCCUUGGGCUAGUCAUUUCUGUGCCUGUGUUUUCUCAGUGGUGAAAUGAAGCUGACUAUGGUCCCUCUGAGGCCAGUGCAAUGGCUCAGUGAGUAAAGGUGCUGGCCAGGGCCUGGCAAUCUGAGAUCAAGCUGCGGGACCCACAGGGCAAAAGGAGAGAACGGAUUCCCACAAGUUGUCCUCUGACCUCUGUAUGUGUGUCCUGGCAUGUACAAACACAUGUGCGGACUUGCACGUGCACACACAAGAUACACACACACACACACACACACACUCACACUCACAAAUAAAAAAAGUUCAAUUCUUCUGCAGAGAGAGGUGUGAGGAAGAGCUGAGUCAGCACAGACAGGAUGCUUCUCUGGAGUGCUGGCAUGCGUGUAGAUCCUACAGCACCUAGCACCCUCAGUCUGGCCUCCUCGACUCUGGACUGCUGUAGACAAUCGCCAUGGGAUUGGUGGUGCGGAUGGAGAAUGGUCAGUGUUUACCAACAGGUGAUCAGGGCGGGAGGAUCGGUUGACACCUCUCUUGCAGAGCUGGGGGAGUCUCUCAGGACGAGUUUGUUCUCGUGAUGCUUAGUUCUGUUCUUGUGGACCUGGAUUCGUUUCCUUAAAAGCAGGUUCUCAUGAGUUGUGCCUGAUCCUUGGGUUUCUCCUCUUCCCCGUGCCUGCCCUUCCAAUUCUCUGUAAGCACAAGGCCAAGGUGGCUUCCUAGAAGCCAAGUGGAUGCCCACACCAGGCACUUGGACUUCAAGCCGCCACUGUUGAAAGCCAAAUGCUCUUCUUUAUAAGUUACCCUACCUCUGCCAUUCUGUCAUAGCAAUGGAAAGUGGACUAAGAGUCUUGAUAAAUUAAAAGAAUAUCUUUUUUUUUUUUUGACAAG